rnacentral:snRNA from 1 species
GGAUGUGAGGGUGAUCUGGCUGUGACUUCUGUCACUCAUUGAUCGCCAGCAUUGAUUUGACUGAUCUGGCUGGUUGGGCAGGUGUCCCCGUCCUCCCUCACUGCUCCUUGUGCGUCACGUCCCCCCAGAAGCUGCACACUUGGUGGAAGGGGACGACCUUCCCCGAAAGAGGAGGAGCGUUCUUCUGUCAAGGGUAUAUGAGUAGCUGUGCUCCCCGGCUGCAGUCUCCAGACAGCCUUUCACGCUCCAAAAUUCCUGUUGAAGCCCCAGUCCCCGGUUCCUCAGAAUGUGGCUGCAUUUGGAGAUGAGGCGUUUAAAGAGGUGAGUAAGUUAAAAUGAGGCCAUCGAGGAGGCCCUGAUCC